rnacentral:rRNA from 1 species
AUUGAACGCUGGCGGCGUGCCUAACACAUGCAAGUCGAGCGGUAACAGGUGUAGCAAUACAUGCUGACGAGCGGCGAACGGGUGAGUAAUGCUUCGGAAUCUACCCAAUGGUGGGGAAUAACCAGCCGAAAGGUUGGCUAAUACCGCAUACGUCCCACGGGAGAAAGCAGGGGAUCGCAAGACCUUGCGCCAAUGGAUGAGCCGAAGUCGGAUUAGCUAGUUGGAGGGUAACGGCCUACCAAGGCGACGAUCCGUAGCUGGUCUGAGAGGACGACCAGCCACACUGGGACUGAGACACGGCCCAGACUCCUACGGGAGGCAGCAGUGGGGAAUAUUGGACAAUGGGGGAAACCCUGAUCCAGCGACGCCGCGUGUGUGAAGAAGGCCUGCGGGUUGUAAAGCACUUUUAGUGGGGAUGAAAUGUUCAGGGUUAACACCUCUGGAUUUUGACCUAACCCACAGAAAAGCACCGGCUAACUCUGUGCCAGCA